GCUCCAAAUUUAAACAUUUUUCAACGCAUUCUAUGACAACCUUUGAUGGAAGAUAUCUCAAAAUUUCCAACCCUUGAAAUAAAGUCCAAAAUUAAAAUACAAAAAGGAGAACUCUUUUUCUUUUUCUUUUUCUUUUUCUUUUUUCACGCUCCACACUCAGAAACAGCUCACAUAAUCAGAAAAUUCUCUCAAAAUCGAUCUGAGCUCAUCUCAGAAAACUCAAAGAUUAGAGCUCAUCUCAUCUCCGAUUGGCUGAUUUGCGGUGGUCAGCCAUCUCAUCUCCGACGACAAGCGAGCCGUUGAUAGCUGUCUCUCUCUGUUUGUUUCCCGAGAAAUUAUGGAAAUUACACUUAUAUCAGAUUCUACUAGGAAAAGAAUGAUGGAAAAUUAAUAGCUGUUCUGAGUCUACUGGUGUUGAGUUCUCCUACAUUGUGAUCUUUCAUGGGGGGGAGACAUCAUCUUUCUUUCUUCACAUUUUUAAGGUUCAGUUUACAGAGAAAAGAAUACAGAUCGGAUGGAAGCAACCUUCUAGUUUAUUUCUUGCUACUAUAUCUAUUCUUCUCAGUGAGCAGGUGCCUUUUGCAGAGAAGGACUUGGCAGUAGUCAAUAUUUCUAGGAGAAUUGAACUGGGCAACUGUGCCAUAGGAUUUAGCUCAUUUUACAGAGAUACUUGGAGGUGCUGGGGAAGCUUUUGCUGAUCUGAAGCAGCUGUUCUCCCUUGCUGAAAAGUUUGGUUAUGCUGAAUGGAUUGAAUUUGAUGCAUCUAUUGUCUGUGGGCUUGCAUACUACACUGGUAUUGUGUUCGAGACUGAUCAAGUUGAUGUCCAAAUAAAAGCUGUUAAUUUAGUUGGGAAACUUUUUGCGCUGCCCAAACAGCAAGUUGCACAACAUUACCAUGAUCUUUUCUUAGAGUUCUUGAAAAGAUUCUCUAAUAAAUCUAUGGAAGUUAGAGUGAGCGCUCUACAAUGUGUUAAAGCUUUCUACAUGGCCAGUCCUUCUGGAACAGAAUCUCAUGAAGUUAUCAGGUUUUGACCCUUGAAAAAAGUCAGAUUUGUUGUAGUGAGCUUGACUUCGACGUUGUCCACGCAAAGCAGCGGAGCUGGGUGAGCUUGAUACUUAAGGAGUUGUGGAAGCAAACCAUAAAGAAAAUCGGCACAGUUCAUGGUGUUUUUAAUGAUAAAAUUUGUUGUACAAGUUUUGGUCUAAAAUCUAAAAUGUAUUUGUGAAUUUGGGUUAGUGGGUGUCCUUUCUUUUCUUCUUCUUCUUCUUCUUUAUUUUAUUAUUUUAUAAGAAAAGUAAAAAUAAUACAUGGUAAGUUAUGAGUGGUAGAGUAUAAAAUGAAAUACAAAAUGUGGGACAAAUGAUUUGUAUUUGUCACAAUGUAAUUCUAAAUGAACUCCAAUUUAAGGAAAUUUUAUGA